UAUUGGGCAAUGGGCGCAAGCCUGACCCAGCAACGCCGCGUGAGGGAAGAAGGCUUUCGGGUNGUAAACUUCUUUUCUGAGGGACNNAGNNNGNGACGGUACCUCAGGAGUAAGCCACGGCUAACUACGUNNNANANGCCGCGGUAAUACGUAGGUGGCAAGCGUUAUCCGGAUUUAUUGGGUGUAAAGGGCGUAUAGGCGGGAAUGCAAGUCAGAUGUGAAAACUAUGGGCUCAACCCAUAGCCUGCAUUUGAAACUGUAUUUCUUGAGUGCUGGAGAGGCAAUCGGAAUUCCGUGUGUAGCGGUGAAAUGCGUAGAUAUGCGGAGGAACACCAGUGGCGAAGGCGGAUUGCUGGACAGUAACUGAUGCUGAGGCGCGAAAGCGUGGGGAGCAAACAGG
rnacentral:rRNA from 1 species